rnacentral:rRNA from 1 species
UACGGGGGGGGCAAGCGUUGUUCGGAAUUACUGGGCGUAAAGGGCUCGUAGGUGGCCAACUAAGUCAGACGUGAAAUCCCUCAGCUUAACUGGGGAACUGCGUCUGAUACUGGAUGGCUUGAGUUUGGGAGAGGGAUGCGGAAUUCCAGGUGUAGCGGUGAAAUGCGUAGAUAUCUGGAGGAACACCGGUGGCGAAGGCGGCAUCCUGGGCCAACACUGACACUGAGGAGCGAAAGCCAGGGGAGCAAACGGG